UCAGCCAGCCCGCAGGACAGGGUCGGCUGUGCAGCUGCAGAAGUCCUUUUCCAGCCAACGUGCCCACGUUGUGGCUUCUGCCACAGAACCACUGUCUCUGUGGAAAGAACAAUCAUCCUUGUUCAUGCUUUUGGAGAUGCUUCUUAAAUAUGUGUCAAAACCGAAUUGCUCAGCAUGAACAUAUGCAUUCUGACUCUUUAUAUGAAAGCACAGCAAAGUGCAGAUGACACACCUCCACACUGAGGCCCAGCACAGGAAGAGCUCAUGCUUUUCAGCCAGAUUCUUUCUAGGUCACCAGUGCCUUGAAUGAAGAUGUCAGUAUCCUGCAUCUGUUCUCGUAUCUUGCCAGAUGUCUCAAGGACACUGAACAGCCAUCAAGUCAGGAUGUUGUCAGUGAUGUGGGAACAAUGGCAACUUUGAAAUCCCAAGCGAAAAAAAUGCUGUGUGGCUGAGAGGCUCGUAUUAACUUUGUAGGGGGGCAGAACUCCCGGCUCUUUCUACAAGCCUGCUGCUGUGUUGCCAUCAGCAUCUUGAUCAGCACAGGGACAUCCUGGCCUGCUCAGCACAGCCACCGGGGCUGUGGGUGAAGACAUGGUGUGAAGCUCUCUGCCAGGCUGGCUUUGCAGGCAGGGAAAUACCUACACAAGUGAAUGCAAUACCAUGCAUCUGCACUGGUGAGUAUUUAUACAAAAGAAUAAAAAAUAAAAUAACUUAUUUUCUAAGUGAGAUGGGAUGAUGUGAUUAGUAUUCUCUUUCAAGUCCCUGAGCUAUCUAGCAUUGUUGAGCAUUGUGCUAUGUACACUAAUUAUGAUUUCUGAGAGGGA
ensembl:lncRNA